rnacentral:rRNA from 1 species
GGACCCGACUGCUAUCAGAGUGGGGCUAAGCCAUGCGAGUCAACGCCGUAAGGCGUGGCGUACGGCUCAGUAACACGUAGUCAACCUACCCUAGGGACGGGGAUAACCUCGGGAAACUGAGGCUAAACCCCGAUAGGCUAUAACUUCUGGAAUGGGUUAUAGCUGAAAUCUAUAUGGCCCUAGGAUGGGACUGCGGCCGAUCAGGUUGUUGGUGGGGUAAUGGCCCACCAAGCCUAUAACCGGUGCGGGCUCUGAGAGGAGGAGCCCGGAGAUGGGCACUGAGACAAGGGCCCAGGUCCUACGGGCGCAGCAGGCGCGAUG